UACGGAGGGUGCAAGCGUUAAUCGGAAUUACUGGGCGUAAAGCGUGCGUAGGCGGUUCGUUAAGUCUGUUGUGAAAGCCCCGGGCUCAACCUGGGAAUGGCAAUGGAUACUGGCGAGCUAGAGUGUGUCAGAGGAUGGGUGGAAUUCCCGGUGUAGCGGUGAAAUGCGUAGAGAUCGGGAGGAACAUCAGUGGCGAAGGCGGCCAUCUGGGACAACACUGACGCUGAGGCACGAAAGCGUGGGGAGCAAAC
rnacentral:rRNA from 1 species